AAACAACAAUUUUUCAACGCUACCAUUUUUCUUCCAAUAAUUUGUACCGCCAUCUUGAAUUUAUGGAAGAAUAUAUCUUUUCGUCAAAUAACUCGCCCACUUUGAACGUUUUACUAAAAAUGGCAAUAAGUUCUAAGCAUGUAGGAAAUUAAAUUUUUUGUCUACGAUUGAUACGAUCGAUUGUCUACGAUACUUCCCGAUUCAAAACAUAAAUCAAAGAUGGCGAACGAAGCUACCGCAUAAUAUGCUCGAAAUUCUGGAAAAUCUGGAAUACCCGCGACCUGCCCCGACGAUUAGGAAACGAAAAUAAUCGAAUUCAAAGAUCGCGAUAUCAGGUUGUGGUAUUUUUUGAACGUAAUAUAAUAUUAUCGGGACGGGCAAAGUUGCGCAGGUGUCGGCGCAAGCGGUGACCGCGUAGUCUGGAAGAGUCUGUCUCAGCACACAUUCACGAUGAGAGAUACCAACAUUUCCCUCCGAUCUCCGUCUCGGCGCCACGGCGGCGAAUGUGCGCGGAGGUUUCGAUCCCAUUGUACCGCUGAUCCACGCUCAGUUCACGUCUAAGCUUCAACAUGUCUCACGAUGUGCCUACGUACAGCGCUCUCAAUCAGGAACCGGUAUCCGUACAGAUGGAGCCGUAUAGCCAAGGACGGCGCAUUAUGCCACCGAGCAGAUCCUGGUGCACCCAACGUCGGACCAUAGUAAUAAUAGCCAUAAUAAUUCUGACGGUGUUGUACUUGGUCAUUAUUGGAAUCGUAUUUAUAGCGCCGUUUUUUGUUGCGGCCGCGAUCGUAGCCUCGGAUGAGAAUCUUAACAAGUACCAUUGAUUUUUCUUUAUCCCAACCAUUCUAUAUUUGGAAUGUGUGGUACGCACAUAAAGUUUUGUACAUGUUACACGAAUGGAUUGCAUUAUUCACAUUAAUUUUACUACAGUUUUAUAUUUGUAUAAUCACCUAUCCACAGAAUACGAAACAUAGAUGUAAGCUAUUGUAAAUUCGAAUCUAAGGCCUCACUGAAUACAACAACGGUGAAAAUCUAUUAUAAUGUGCACAGUCAACGUCGAUUAUUGUCAGAUUCCUUAAGACAGUAACGAAGUCAGGUCAAGUCGUAUGCUUAAUGUUUUAUUGUUACUAAUGUACACAUUUUCACGCAUAUAUGAAUACUUUUAUAAAUAUAAUAUAUAUUUUUUCUAACUCAGUUUUUCAUAGUAUUAAGAUAUCAAUUUAUUGACAGGUAAAAGUAUCGAAUAGCUUUGAAAAGUUGAUUAUAAGCCAGUGAAGAAUUCAUGAUAACAUGUGAAGCGAGUUGUGUGUCAAAUCGUAAUGCUUUACAUUUUUGGCUCCAUUUACUUGAUAACGGUAUAAUUGCAAUCGUCGAACAAUAUUUUCAACGCAAUUGUAAUAUAAACGUUUUGUACGAUCUGAUUUUCUAACGAAAUCUUCCCCUCGUGUCAUUUUAAAUAGUAAGCCACUGUAUGAUCGAAAGCAAACUCUUCCUUCGUUCUGUUUCGAUUUCGUUUCGAUGAAACAAAACUAAAAAUCAAGCACUUUACUUGAUUGUAAUCGACAAUUUCAUCAUUUCCAUUGAUACGCUUUUGUUGAUACCCACGUUGCUGUGAUCAAAACCAAACUGGGAUGACUUUACACGUUUCCAUAAAUAGAAAACCGCGCGAUCAGUGUAUUUGUGUAAAUUUUUUGUACCUAUUGUGCAAGAUCAGUUCAAUUGUUGAUACAUGAAUCAAUAAAUAUGCAUUUCGGAAAACCUA
rnacentral:misc_RNA from 1 species